rnacentral:lncRNA from 1 species
CUGAUCCGUAUGAAUUCCUCUUAUUAAGAAAAAUAAAGCAUCCAGGAUUCAAUGAAGAACUGACUAUCACCUUGUUAAUCAUUCAGAAACAUGUUGCAGACUUAAGCCACUUUUGAUAUAGAUACUGAAAUAAUUACUUGCUAAGAGCAAACUUGAAGAGCACGAAGUUGGAGAAACAAAACGCAAACUAAACAACAACAAUGAAACAGAACAGAGUUAAUCUGCUGUAGCUCAAGAGAGGACGUACCUGCCCCCACCCCGCAUCCCUGGGCUCGGGUUUGCCUUGCUGACCUCUGCUGCCACCUGGUGCCACACAGAGAAACUGAGGAGAAACCACAUCAGUCUCCUUCAGCCUCAGCUUCACAUCUGUGGGUCAAGUAACCCUUUCAGAAGCUGAAUAAUGUGGGAAAGCUUUCCUCUCAGGAAAAUGCACACAUCCAGCUUUGAGAAGAUGCCCUUGGGGGCGCUUCAAGGAUCCUAGAUAAAGAACCCCCUUUCCCGAACAUCCAAGAACCUAAGUUUUUUUUGUUUUUUUUGAGAAAGUCUCGCUCUCUCUCCCAGUCUGGAAUGCAGUGGCAUGAUCUUGGCUCACUGCAAGCUACACCUCCCAGGUUCACGCCAUUCUCCUGCCUCAGCCUCCCAAGUAGCUGGGGCUACAGGCACCUGCCACCACACCCGGCUAAUUUUUUUGUAUUUUUAGUAGAGACGGGGUUUCACCGUGUUAGCCAGGAUCGUCUUGAUCUCCUGACCUUGUGAUCCACCCACCUCGGCCUCCCAAAUUGCUGGGAUUACAGGUGUGAGCCACCGCACCUGGUCCAAGAACCCAAGUUUUAGAUCUAGAGUGAUGUCAGCAUGACAUUGAUUUCCUGAGGCCCAGGUGUGAAGGAGCUGAGGACAGCAGAGGGGUGAAGGAACUCAGCUACAGACAGCAGCAGCUGAUGCACAGGCCUCCCAGCGCCUGAAGUCACCUGGAAUUGGGAAGUGCUCAGAAGCUUACAAAGCUGCCUCGAGGUGGGAACACGACAUAAAUCCAAGAGCAGAUCCCUGAUCCUAUAAAAAUAUACUAGAUUCAUUGGGGGCAUUUUAAAUGAGCGGAGAAGGACAGACAGAUAAACAGAAGGACAAACAGUAUUGGGAUUGGGAUAAAUGCUCAGCUUUUGCCCAAAUCUUAGUGACUUAAGCAUCACUUAUUUGCUCACGAUUCUGUGGCUGGACCAUUUGGUUUGGCUCACAGGGCAGGGACUGUGCUGGUCUUACCUGAGCAGACCUGCAUGUCUGCGGUCAACUGGGUUGGCAGAGACAGAGUGACUGUCUUCCUCCAGGAAGCAGCACGUUAACUGGUUGGCAGAGACAGAGGGACAGAGGGACUGUCCUCCUCCAGGAAGCAGCAGGUUAACUGGUUGGCAGAGACAGAGGGACAGAGGGACUGUCCUCCUCCAGGAAGCAGCAGGUUAACUGGUUGGCAGAGACAGAGGGACAGAGGGACUGUCCUCCUGCAGGAAGCAGCAGGUUAACUGGUUGGCAGAGACAGAGGGACAGAGGGACUGUCUUCCUCCAGGAAGCAGCAGGUUAACUGGUUGGCAGAGACAGAGGGACUGAGGGACUGCCCUCCUCCAGGAAGCAGCAGGUUAUCUGGUUGGCAGAGACAGAGGGACAGAGGGACUGUCUUCCUCCAGGAAGCAGCAGGUUAACUGGUUGGCAGAGACAGAGGGACAGAGGGACUGUCUUCCUCCAGGAAGCAGCAGGUUAACUGGUUGGCAGAGACAGAGGGACUGAGGGACUGUCUCCCUCCAGGAAGCAGCAGGUU